UUGAACAGAGAUGGCAACAUGCAGCAGCACAGCACUGUAAAAAUUUAAUCUGGAAACAAGUUUAAAAUUAGCAUGUCCACCAUCGGCAGUAACUGCUGGCGAUAUCAGUGCAAACAUUACAACCAUGGUGGCCAUCUUGGAAAGAUUUCUAUUGGCCCAAUUAUGUCAGAUUUGACACAAAAGCAUUCAUCUAUGAUAAAAUAACUGUUCUUGACAACCACGGCACCAUCUUGGAAAAGGUCGGCCAUCUUGAAAUUUGACCACUGCUGUUUGUCGUCAUUCUGUCCUGAACUCCUGACAGCUGCUGUUCCUGAAGGAUUUAGCUUUUAAUGACGUCCCAGUGGAGCAGCACAUGGACACAUUUACACUCUGCACUGUUUACAUCAGCUUCCUUUGUGGCCUGCAGGCAACCAUUCAGAGACCGUGACAAUCAAUACUGGAUGGUGAAGAGGAAAUUCUCAAACUGGAUAUCCUGUGAGGGAAGCAGAAACACGGGGAGGUUAGGAUUACAGUGGCUGGCUCUGCGAGGGGGCGGGGCCACAGGAGGAAGCCCCACCCCCAACUCCCUCUGUAACCAAUCAGGUUCCUUCUCUGCCGGCCUUUCUGGGAUGUAGGUGAUCCGUAUGUGCUGACAGCGCUCCCUGUCCUUUGAACUGAGGAAAUCUGGGAGGUCGUUCACCUGCACAGAAGCAGAGAGACGGAAGCGGGAGCCAAGCGUUUAUUUAUUCAGGGAGUUUCACUGACAGAUUGUCCAGAUUAAAAGGGUUGCAGGACUUAAAAUAAACCAGGAAAUUGAAAAACUAAAGCCACAAUUAGCUAAAAGAAGCUAACUACCGUUAGGUGUGGCUAAUGCCAGAGAAUGUUUGAUCGAACAAAAAAGCGAACCCUGGUCCAUUUAAAAACCUCGGUUUGACUGCUCCAAAAGCAGGAAGUGGACUACAGCGCAGGGCA